rnacentral:tRNA from 1 species
GCCUGGGUGGCUCCUUCCGUUAAGCAUCUGACUUCAGCUCAGGUCAUGAUCCACGGCUGGUAGGUUCGAGCCCUGCUUCAGGCU